AUGAUUGAGCAUAUGGCUGGAAGAACGGAUGACACAUUUUUUAUGGCCUGGCUUGCGGUUGCCUUCAGUACUUUUCUAGCACCAACCACGGCCUUGAAGCUCAGCCCAAAGUGUUAUGGACUUGUGAUAGAUCAUCAAAUGCUAAAGAAUACAAACAUCUGCCUCUUUGUGGCAGAACACAUUAACGAAGCUUUCCGGAACAUGGACCAGGAGAAGCAAACUGUUUGCUGCUGCUUGUAUCACUUGAUGAUACUAUACCUUGAUGCGCUCGUACAUGACAUCCCAGUAAGCAACUGCGCGAUACGAUCGAAUGCAUGGGAUAGUACUCUAAUUGCCAAGGUGAUCAAGAAGGAUACUAUCUCUCCUGAGGAGUAUAGAGGCACGGAGCAGACACCACUCUUUGGUGGAAUUUUGCAAGCUGAAGCAUUUGUGGCAUCCAAGUUACCAAUAACAUACAAUCCGCAGAAAAAGGCAAAAAUUACGAAAGUGGUCAAUGAGCUAUGCAAGGCUGAAGAGGAGGAGGAGGAGGAGGAGGAGGACAAAGAAGAAGAGGACAAAGGAGAGGAGGAGAACAAGGAAGAAGAUAGUGAUGCAGAGGAGGAGGAAGAAGAAGGUGAGGCCAGAGAGGGGGACGGGGACAAAGGGGCAGCAGUUGAUGGCAGUGAGAGGGGAGAAGACAAAGGCGCAGCAGCUGAUGGCAGUGAGAGGGAAGAAGACGAGGAUGAAGAAGACGAGGAUGAUUAUGGUGAUGAUAAAGGGGGAUCCAAUGGAGGCAGCGACAGCAGCGAUGACGAUGAUGAUGACAACGCUCCUGGUUCUGGUGGUACAGGUGGCAACACAUCCAGGAGGACUAGCACUCACGCAACCCCUGCGAGCAGCAGCAAUUCAUUGAGUAGCAGGAGCACACUACAGUUGUUGAUUGACAAGACUUGCUGGAAAGACAAGGAUUUGCCAAAGUCAAAGAAAAAUGACGAAGCAGAGUCUCAGGGAAGCAUUGAUAUGUUCAAGCUCUGCAACUUGAAGUCAGCUUUGCCAACCACCUUUCCCGUGCCAGAUUUCAGCGACAAAGAUAUGUGUGAGAAGAUCAACUUUGCCAUUGACAAGAGCCUGUUCUUAUCAACUGAAGCUGAAAAGAAUCAAAUUGACAUGGAGGAAGCAGGAAAGGGUCUUGACUGGGUUCAUUCAAAGGAAAAAUACAAGGAAUAUUUAAAGCAGCUCCCAGACCUAAGCUCCAGCAAGAGCAAGGCAGCAUCCACGGCAAAGCCUCACGUGGUCCAGAAGUGUAAAGCAGUUUCAAUGAAGAAGAAUCUGCAGUUGCCUCAAACCAAGGAGAAGAUGGUGAGUGAAGAUGCUGAAGUAAAUAUGGUCAAGGAAGCUGUGCUUCAAACUGAUAUGCCAACGGUAGUGAGCAGAGGGCCAACCAAUGUCAAAGAAGUUCAACAGAUCAAGGGGAAGACUCCCCUUUCAACAGUCCCACCAAAACCACCUAAGCAGAAGAUUGUCAAGUUUGCCAGGGGCGCAAAGGGGGAACAGGCCACAAAAGGGGUGCCAAGUUCUGCCAGGUUGCUGCCAACUCAGACUGGAAAGAUGCCAACUAUAGAUACCAGUGUGCCAACUGAUGUGUCAGUUAGCAGUAUGGUCACAGUCAAAACCACCACAGCUGGUCAGGAAGGCACCACUGCAACUGCAAGUCCCAAGGUGCCUACUGAUAGAGAUGCUUCAAUGCCAAACACAAAAGGAGGUGAUCCAACUAUCAAAGUGCCGUCCCCAAGAGUUGUCUUUCAGCAACCAUUAACACAAGAGGAGGUGUUCGACAUUAUAAGUAGGUGCAAGCCUCCAAGGCCGCCAACUACAACACUAUUGCGAACCAAGUCAGUGAAUGAUGCACCCAUGUUUGUGCCGCAAGGAGAUGCCCUGGUCCUUGAACCCUUACGAAGAUCAAACUCUUAUCAUGGUGACGGGUUCUGCGAUGCACCAUCUUUUGACCUCGGCAUAGAUGGUGAUGCUCCAGCACCUGCUCCAGCAGUAGAUACAGCGGAAGCCGGUGUGAUUAGCAUCGAUGAGUGUGAGUUAGACCCAGCAGCUGUGAAUGAAGGAUGUGAUGCUGCUGAUGUUGGCAAGGCAAUAGCUCAAGAACUAGAUGUUGGUUCACCAGAGAAUUGCCACACCCCGAUAUGCGCAGAACCAGAACUUGGCACGAGCACAUCUCAAAGGUCUCCAUUCAUCGACUACAACAAGAACAAGACUUUUCGCACCAAUGAGGCAGUGAACAAGCUUUACGCUGCCCUCUUGUAUUGGGUCAGGCAUCACAAAGGAGCAAAUGAUGGAGCUACCAGCCCUGAGAUAAUUAGGUAUGGUGCUUUCUACAUUUCUUUAAAGGAGUUAGUUGAUUCGAUGAAGCCAGUUCAAUGGUUGUCAAAAAUUGUUAUUGAGACUGGAAUCUUACACAUCAUUGAUAACUUACCAGAAGGGUCAAAGAAGGUUGUUAUGCCACUGAGGUUUUUUAUAAAAUUACAGCAAGGGAUCCACAAUGUGGAUGAGAUGAACAAGAAGUUUGAUUACAAGAACCGUCUCGACAAGAAAGACUUGGUCAUGCUGCCAGUGCUUGAGUGCGCAGAUGUAACCGAUAAGGACGGAGGGAGGCAUUAUUGGGUCUUCAGUGUCAACUUGAGGGACGGACGCUUCGAAGUUCUUGAUUCAAGCAGGACGCUGGACAACACUGAGCUGAUGAACAACGCCUCUACCAUUGCGGGGGCAGUACACCAGCUAUGGAGGAAGCAUUACCCAAAGUUCAGCAUCGAGCACUUCCAGAUUAUUGACAUUGACGUACCAAAGCAGCUUGGCAAUAAUGAGUGUGGGUUGUUCGCACUGCUUAACGCCACCGAGUGGAAUGGUAGCCAACUGCCCAACUACGACCCCAAGGAAGUACUCAACAUCAGGAAGAAGCUGACGUAUGAUUGGGUCACCAGCGUGCACAACACCGCCCCAUGGAGGAAGUUGCUGAGAUACGACAAGGAGUAG
rnacentral:rRNA from 1 species